rnacentral:siRNA from 1 species
ACAGAACGGAUGUGCGGAUUUCUU